rnacentral:rRNA from 1 species
UACGUAGGGUGCAAGCGUUAAUCGGAAUUACUGGGCGUAAAGCGUGCGCAGGCGGUUAUGUAAGACAGGUGUGAAAGCCCCGGGCUUAACCUGGGAAUGGCAUUUGGGACUGCAAGGCUAGAGUGCGGCAGAGGAGACUGGAAUUCCUGGUGUAGCAGUGAAAUGCGUAGAUAUGCGGAGGAACACCGAUGGCGAAGGCAAUCCCCUGGGCCUGCACUGACGCUCAUGCACGAAAGCGUGGGGAGCAAACAGG